UUUAACUGAGCGUUCAGUUACUUGACGUAGACCCGAAACCGGGCGACCUACCCAUGAGCAGGAUGAAGCGAAAGUAAAAUUUCGUGGAGGUCCGAACCCACGAGCGUUGAAAAGCUCGGGGAUGACUUGUGGGUAGCGGUGAAAUUCCAAUCGAGCCCGGAGAUAGCUGGUUCUCCCCGAAAUAGCUUUAGGGCUAGCCUCAAGGUGAGAGAUACGGAGGUAGAGCACUGAAUGUCCUAGGGGGUAUUGCACCUACCGAAGACUAUCAAACUCCGAAUGCCGUCAUCUUAUACUUGGGAGUCAGACUGUGGGUGAUAAGAUUCAUAGUCGAAAGGGCAACAGCCCAGAUCGUCAGCUAAGGUCCCUAAAUGUAAGUUAAGUGGUAAAGGAUGUGGGAUUGCACAGACAACCAGGAUGUUGGCUUAGAAGCAGCCACUCAUUCAAAGAGUGCGUAAUAGCUCACUGGUCGAGUGAUCCUGCGCCGAAGAUUUCCGGGGCUAAAACUUACUACCGAAGCUACGGCAUCAGUAAUGAUGGGUAGGGGAGCUUCCCAUACGGGUUGAAGCAUGACCGUAAGGACAUGUGGACAGUAUGGGAGUGAGAAUGUUGGCAUGAGUAGCGAGAUGUGGGUGAGAAUCCCACAGGCCGUAAACCCAAGGUUUCCAGGGGAAGGUUCGUCCGCCCUGGGUUAGUCGGGACCUAAGCUGAGGCCGAAAGGCGUAGGUGAUGGACAACAGGUUGAUAUUCCUGUACUACCGAUAACCGUUUGAGAGAAGGGAUGACACAGUAGGAUAAGCUAAGCACACUGUUGGUUAUGUGUGCCCAAGCA
rnacentral:rRNA from 1 species